CGGAGGACUCAGGAGGAGAGCGGGAUCAACAGACCAGCCAACCAGGCGGCAACAUUAGCACUCAGCUCUGCGCCAUUGGAUUAAAUUACAGAUAGACUAUUGUGACGUCCAGCCCACCAGUCAAAGAGCUCAUGGAGCUCUGGCCUGCUUUUCGUAUGCAGUCUGAGGUGUAUUUCAACGCAUUACUAACCAGAACCUUCCCAAUACUUUCUAUGCCGAACUUGAUCUUCACACUCCUCGUUUAAUGGCCUUGUUUAGGCAGAAAGCUUUCAGAACGGGCAAAACUGCAGACGCGUUGG